rfam:Oryza nivara chromosome 7, whole genome shotgun sequence.
AUCCCAUGAUGAGGACAGGCGGUCACAUAUUCCUGAAGUCGUUCCCACGCCUCAGAAAUGGGCUCGUUCCUUGUCUGUUGGAAACUUGAAAUUCUCCCAUGAAGGGU